GACGAACGCUGGCGGCGUGCCUAAUACAUGCAAGUAGAACGCUGAAGGAGGAGCUUACUUCUCUGGAUGAGUUGCGAACGGGUGAGUAACGCGUAGGUAACCUGCCUGGUAGCGGGGGAUAACUAUUGGAAACGAUAGCUAAUACCGCAUAAGAGUAGAUGUUGCAUGACAUUUACUUAAAAGGUGCAAUUGCACCACUACCAGAUGGACCUGCGUUGUAUUAGCUAGUUGGUGGGGUAACGGCUUACAAAGGCGACGAUACAUAGCCGACCUGAGAGGUGGAUCGGCCACACUGGGACUGAGACACGGACCAGACUCCUACGGGAGGCAGCAGUAGGGAAUCUUCGGCAAUGGAAGGAAGUCUGACCGAGCAACGCCGCGUGAGUGAAGAAGGUUUUCGGAUCGUAAAGCUCUGUUGUAAGAGAAGAACGAGUGUGAGAGUGGAAAGUUCACACUGUGACGGUAUCUUACCAGAAAGGGACGGCUAACUACGUGCCAGCAGCCGCAGUAA
rnacentral:rRNA from 1 species